AUUGCUCUACAAAUACAAAUAUAGACUAUACACUUGCAGAAGUGCCAAAGUUUACAGUUGCUUACCAAUUCUUCCCUCACCAUUUUCCCUUUAUCACUUUUGGCUUAGCCCCUGUUCUCACUAGUAAUGAAAGUCUAAUGAAGUAGACUUUGUCUUCUCUAGUUCAUGAUUCUGUCAACCAGAUAUUCAGUCUCCUAGGCUUCAGGUCUAUUAAGAAAAAAGUUGUAAAACAGAAAUGUGUAGAAACAUGACCCUGUGAUCUAUUUCUCCCAAAUAGGAGUGCCUGCAUGUGGAAACCUCUAGAUUCACUCAACAAAGGACUCUUAUGCCCUCUAGUCAAUUAAGAGAUCUUGCUAUGAAUAAACAUCAGAGUUGUGGGUAGAGAGAGCACCAAACCAGGAGUCAGGAGGCCAGUGCAAUAGCUUGAACUCUGUUUUCUAAAAAUUAUCUUUGACAUACUGUCCACUGUAUACCAAGAUCUAGCAGGUAAGUAUUUUUCCUGCAUUAUAUAUAGGAAAAAUUGAGGUACAGAAAGAAUAACUCACUUGCUCAGAGUCAUACCACUUGUAAUAGUCUUUCCUAGUUUUAAACUCAUAUCUGUACCAAAAAUCUGUGCAGUUUUCCUAUACCAUUUAAGCUUAUAUUCAGUAUACCUUGCAGUUUCACUUCAUGUCUAUUCUUAAUUUGGCAAAAUAUUUAUUGAGUACCUACUGUAUACCAGGAAGUAUGCUAGAUGCUGUGUAUAAAAAUAAUUGACAAGUUACACGUAGUCAUGGAUAGUAAGUCACCGGGGAAUAUAGACAUUAUCCAAAUAAUUACCUAUACAGUUCACUCACCAGUGACAAGGAGAGGUCCAUUCAGCUAUGGGAUAUGUAACAGAGGAACGUAAAGCAGGCUGGUAGGGUCAGAAAAACCUUCCUUGAAGAAAUAACAACACCAUUGACAGCUGAAGGACCAAUAGGCAAAGUUGGAAGGACUCAGGAAAACAUUCCAAGGCAAAGGAAUAACAUGUGCAAAGGGACUGUGGCAUCAAGAAGCAUUGCUGUUAGAAGACUCUAAAGACCAAGUGCCUGCAAACAGAGGUCAAAGAUGAACAUGGGGCAAAAAUAAGCUUUGAGAGGUCAAUGGGAACAGGGUUUCAUAGGCUUUUGUAAGAAUUUGUCUCUACCCAAAGUGCAAUGAAAAAUUGUUUGAACAUUUCAUCAUGUUUAAUGAGAUCAACUCUGUUUCAAAAAUAUCAAAGAAUAACCGAGAAAAAAACUUGAAGUAAAAUAAAGCUUAGGACUUGACUACUAGAUAUGUGGACCUACUAUAAAGCUAGAAUAAUUGAGAGAGAGUGAUGUUACAAGAGUGGACAAAAUAGAGCAGUAAAACAGAAUAAAGAGCUUGGAAUCAGAUUCACACAUUUAAAUUGACUUGAUUUAUGGCAAGCAAUGCCACUGCAGUACAUUGGGGUAAGGAUGGAUGGUGUUUUAAAUAGCGUUAGUGUUGCAAAUUGGAUACACAUAUGGAAAAACAGUUAGGACCCCCUACUUCUUACCACAUAAAUUGCAAUCCUAGAUGGAUUGUAGAUCUAAAUGUGAAUAGUAAACUGAUAGCCACAAAAAAGCACCUGGUGGGUAAAGCAGAAAACAACACAGGAGAAGAUUUUUAUAACCUUGGAGUGCUCAAAAUAUUUUUGACCAAGAUAUUAAAAAUACUAAUUAUAAGGAAGAUUAUUAACUUGGAUUGUAUUUGGAUUAAGAACACUGGUACUUGAGAGAAUAAAAAGGCAAGACCCACAGUGUGUGGAUUUUAUUUGUAAGGCAUUUAGAAUUACACCAUGGUUUGAAGUAGGGAACAGUUGGAAGACAACUAUAUCAGUCCAAAUAAGAGAAAAAUAUGAUGCAACCUAUAGCUAUAGAGGGUAUGAAUGGAUUCUGAAGAUAUUUGGAAUAUAAAAUUGACUGAAAUAGAUGACUGCUUGAACAUUCAAAUGAUAAGAAGAAUAAAGGGGGGAGAUUGUAUCUUGGUUCCUUUGGUGUUUUGUGGUACCAUUCACUGUCACUGGGUACCCCAAGGGGAGGGACAGGUUUAGGAGGUGAUAACAAGUUUAUUUGGGACAGGCUGAGUGGGGAGGUAUUUGUGGCAUGUCUAGAGGGACAUGUUUAAAAGGCUACUGGAUAAGUUCUCAAUCUAAGGAGAGAAUAUGGGCCAGAGUUGAAAAUUACCCUUAUUUGUUGAUAAAGCUACUUUGGAAAAUACACCACAGAAUGCACUUUAGUUGCCUGUGUUUCAGUAAAGCACUUAACCCUUCUGAACACCAAUUUCCUCACUGUUAAAUGAGAAAAAUAGCGUGACUUACCUUGCCAAAUAAAUUCUGAUAAGAAUCCAAUUACAGGAGACAUGGGUAAGUAAUUCGUGAACUUCAGAUUGUACUUAAGUGAAAGAAUUAUUAGUCUCAUUGUCAUUAGCAGCUGGUUGGAGGUACCCUUCUCAGGCCUCAGUAUCCUACUGAGAAUUGUUGGAAGUUUUUUUUUUUAAUAGUAUUACUUUGGGUUACUCUAGCAUUUUUAACAGCCAAAUCAGGACAAGGUAAAUAAAAUCUAAAGACACUGAAUGAAUAAAGUGUACCAUUACCUAAGUAAAAACAAAAAAACUGUAGGCUUACCUAAGCAGUUUUGUUUUUAAAAAGACUAUGAUUCCAUGUUCAUGUGAGAACUGACUGACACCCACCUUUUCUCCAUCAAUAAUAGGUGGGUGACUAAAUAGAAGACAUUUUAUUUCUUAGAUAUCUUCAGUAUAAAAUAUACUCCUAGGUAACUAAGGGAGUUGAUUUGCUGUUAGGAUUAUUACAUUUUGGAAGAUAUCUACCAAUAUUACCAAUGAUCACUCUAGAGGGAUUAGUCUGGAACUAUUCUUUAUGAUAUUAAUUAAAAAGCAGGAUCAAUUGUCUAUUAUGUCCACUUUUAUUUGUAACAUUAAAUACAUGUAUUCAUGAAAAAUGAUAUUUCUGGGUCUCUGAGGGAAUUUGUUCCACUCAUUCCGAAGUGUGCUAUCAGUCAUUAGGGUGUAAUUUUCAAAAGAAAGAAGUGACUAAACACACAUCUGUCUUACUUGGCCUGGAAUUAUCAUCUGCUCUUUCAGAAUAUCAUUCAAACCCUAGACCUCACUUGGCCCUUAACAUACAGAUCCUAUCUCCAUAACCUAGCUCUGUUUGUGCAGCUUGGACCACAAUCCCUUCACAUAUGUACAGAGUCAAAGGGCUUAGAAAGUCAAUCUCUUUUCCCUGAAAACAAUUCAAUCCUACUUACAUACUUCUCUUUUUGUACCUGACC
rnacentral:lncRNA from 1 species